rnacentral:rRNA from 1 species
CUUCGGGAAACCGGAGCUAAUACCGGAUAACAUUUGGAACCGCAUGGUUCUAAAGUGAAAGAUGGUUUUGCUAUCACUUAUAGAUGGACCCGCGCCGUAUUAGCUAGUUGGUAAGGUAACGGCUUACCAAGGCGACGAUACGUAGCCGACCUGAGAGGGUGAUCGGCCACACUGGAACUGAGACACGGUCCAGACUCCUACGGGAGGCAGCAGUAGGGAAUCUUCCGCAAUGGGCGAAAGCCUGACGGAGCAACGCCGCGUGAGUGAUGAAGGGUUUCGGCUCGUAAAACUCUGUUAUUAGGGAAGAACAAAUGUGUAAGUAACUGUGCACAUCUUGACGGUACCUAAUCAGAAAGCCACGGCUAACUACGUGCCAGCAGCCGCGGUAAUACGUAGGUGGCAAGCGUUAUCCGGAAUUAUUGGGCGUAAAGCGCGCGUAGGCGGUUUCUUAAGUCUGAUGUGAAAGCCACGGCUCAACCGUGGAGGGUCAUUGGAAACUGGGAAACUUGAGUGCAGAAGAGGAAAGUGGAAUUCAUGUGUAGCGGUGAAAUGCGCAGAGAUAUGGAGAACACCAGUGGCGAAGGCGACUUUCUGGUCUGUAACUGACGCUGAUGUGCGAAAGCGUGGGGAUCAAACAGGAUUAGAUACCCUGGUAGUCCACGCCGUAAACGAUGAGUGCUAAGUGUUAGGGGGUUUCCGCCCCUUAGUGCUGCAGCUAACGCAUUAAGCACUCCGCCUGGGGAGUACGACCGCAAGGUUGAAACUCAAAGGAAUUGACGGGGACCCGCACAAGCGGUGGAGCAUGUGGUUUAAUUCGAAGCAACGCGAAGAACCUUACCAAAUCUUGACAUCCUCUGAAAACUCUAGAGAUAGAGCCUUCCCCUUCGGGGGACAAAGUGACAGGUGGUGCAUGGUUGUCGUCAGCUCGUGUCGUGAGAUGUUGGGUUAAGUCCCGCAACGAGCGCAACCCUUAAGCUUAGUUGCCAUCAUUAAGUUGGGCACUCUAGGUUGACUGCCGGUGACAAACCGGAGGAAGGUGGGGAUGACGUCAAAUCAUCAUGCCCCUUAUGAUUUGGGCUACACACGUGCUACAAUGGACAAUACAAAGGGCAGCGAAACCGCGAGGUCAAGCAAAUCCCAUAAAGUUGUUCUCAGUUCGGAUUGUAGUCUGCAACUCGACUACAUGAAGCUGGAAUCGCUAGUAAUCGUAGAUCAGCAUGCUACGGUGAAUACGUUCCCGGGUCUUGUACACACCGCCCGUCACACCACGAGAGUUUGUAACACCCGAAGCCCGUGGAGUAACCAUUGGAGCUAGCCGUCGAAGGUGGGACAAAUGAUUGGGGGAAGUCGUAAC